rnacentral:tRNA from 1 species
GGAGAGGUAUCGAAGCGGUCAUAACGAGGCGGUCUUGAAAACCGUUUGGGCGCAAGCCCACAUGGGUUCGAAUCCCAUCCUCUCCG